UCCAUUGCUUAGUGGGUAAAGCACAAAGCUCUUAACCUUGUGGACGUGGGUUCAAGCCCAACGAUGGAA
rfam:Triticum urartu cultivar G1812 contig798480, whole genome shotgun sequence.